UACGAAGGGGGCUAGCGUUGCUCGGAAUUACUGGGCGUAAAGGGCGCGUAGGCGGUGUGUCAAGUCAGGCGUGAAAGCCCCGGGCUCAACCUGGGAACCGCGCUUGAGAUUGGCACGCUCGAGUUCGGGAGAGGAUGGUGGAAUUCCCAGUGUAGAGGUGAAAUUCGUAGAUAUUGGGAAGAACACCGAUGGCGAAGGCAGCCAUCUGGACCGACACUGACGCUGAGGCGCGAAAGCGUGGGGAGCAAACAGG
rnacentral:rRNA from 1 species